AGCCUCGCUGGGCCGGGGUGGGUCUGUGAUCGUGGUAGGAUACUACCCAAUGUUGGCUGUGACUUGAUGGAGGUAAAGACUGGCCAGCACACUGUUGGUCCCCACGGAAAUGCUAUUUGGGCAGACUUUGCUUCUAUAAAAGUCUUCCCUUCAAACACCCUGAGGGGGUGUGGACACCAGAAGGAGCCUGCCUGUGUCCAGCAGGGUCUCCGGUUUGGUCAUUCAGGGGAUAGUCAUCGGGGGUCUGAUGUGUGUUGGGCACAGGACUCAACUCUGGGGGAGGGGCGUGGACAGAGAGAAGCUGCCUGGGCCUCUUGAGACUAACGGACCAGCAGGGAAGGCAGACCCUUUAAGAAUUUACAGCCACGAGUGCUGCAUACCUUGGUGGACAGUCUCAGAAGCGCCGCGGAGGCCAGGAGCAGGCCCAGUAGCAGCUAAGCACGUCUGCAGGGAACUUUGGAGCAGGUUCUGUCCUGAUCCCUGUUUUCCGGAUGGAGAAACUGAGGCAUCCAAAGGGCGACUUUCCCACUCUCAGGGAGCAGCAGCCAUCCAGCCCUAAGCCUGGGUUCCCAGCAUCCUAUCACACUGCCUUCCACGCUGGAGGGAUACUUCUGCAGAUGGAACCUGGAAUCUGCUCUAAUUUCUCUUUUGUUGGUAAAUCUUCAUCAAAUUAUGACUGUUGUAGCAAAACAAUGGUGAGCCUGGGUAGCCUCCGGGUUCCGGGAUAGAGAGUGUCUCCUCUGCCCAUGCAUCGAUCUCUGCCUCUGCCUCCAUCCCAAACCCAUCACUCUCCUGUGCAGGCAGAUACCUUCGGGGACUGGCAGCGACCAAUGAAAGGAACAGAGGAUCCCGUGUGAGAGGAUGCGUGAUGAGGAGUUCUGAGGGAGUGAGCGGCUGGACGGAGCAACGCUGUGUGAAGGGCGGCCCUGCCCGUUUCCUUCCAUCUGGGAACAGGAGCCCCUUGAUACUGAAUCUUAUCAUUCCCCCCAAAACCUGGACAUACUGACUUUUAUGUGAAAUACCUUAUUUUUAAAAAUGUUGCCGAUGAGUUAAAAACAGGUCCGGAGCUGGCACAUGGAGGGUCUCUCUGGCCCAGGCUGCCCAUCGGUGAUGCUUGCCCUCACCUGCUUGUAUCAGUCCUGCAAGAGGCCCCAGGUCUGCUCUAACCAGGCCAGAGGUGGCUGAAAUGCACUGUGAGAAAGGACGUUCUGACUUUGACUCUGACCGGAAGGCCGGGGCCAGCAGUUCGUUUUCAGGUUGCCUUCUGCUUCCCGGCUUUACUGAGAAGGGGGAAUGCAGAUGUAAAUGAAAAAGAAAUGUGCUGGAUGGACCGGAGGGAAAUCAGCUCAGCUAAGUGCACGGCCCUGGGUAGCUGUGAGGUUGGGGCAGGUCAUGGGAGAUUCAUAUUUUUUCCAGGCCAGUUCUCCCAUUCAUAAUGUAACAUUUACAAUUUUUUUUCUGCCCCAGUAGAACGGAAAGGAAUCUAACCACAGGUUCUUUUCUAGCAGCAUUGGCUCGGAGCUGCCUAUCCACCUACCAAGAGACUCCCGUCUCACUCUCCACCUUGUGUGUUUUUUUUACUUCCUCCACGAUACCUUCUUCUUUUUUUUUUUCUUCCUGGUCCCAUUUCUCUCUUCUGUUAUGAAAAAGCAAUAGUAGCGGUGGGUUGCCUGUAAGAUAAGUUUGUUUUGUUUUCAACCUUUUUAUUAUUUAACCCUCACCCACAGGGAGGUAAACUGAUACCCUAUCAAGGAAGAGACAGACAAACCCAGGAAACAGGCAGGGGGAUUGUGCGGAAAUUCCAGAUCAGGAUUUGCUUGGGCUAGAAGAUUUAAUUUGCCAGACUGCUGGGCCUGUCAAAAGUGUCUGCAGUAACCACUCGGGUGUUCAUAAAGCCGAAACAGCAGAGGAGGAAAAUGAAACCUUGGAUCAAUUUCUCUGUUUGGAGACCUUAACUUACGUUCAGUUGAGGAGAAAAAAAAAAAAAAAAA
rnacentral:lncRNA from 1 species